GGCCAUACCACCCUGAACGCGCCCGAUCUCGUCUGAUCUCGGAAGCUAAGCAAGGUCGGGCCUGCUUAGUACUUGGAUGGGAGAAGCCAGAGCACAGGCAGCC
rnacentral:rRNA from 1 species